GUACACACGUCAACUGUUGGUGCGAUGGAUUUUUUUUGAUGGUGCGGCUCAAGUAUACCACCGCAUCAUCAUAUCUUCAUUUGCAAAUCACCACCAAAUAAGAAAGGAUCCAGCACCAUUUAAUAUAGUAUCGCACCUUUUAACAAAUAUAAUAAAAUAAUCUACUAAUAUAUUUUUCAGCAUUUCGAUCUCUCCCCAAAAUUGAGCUUCUCCCCCCAAAAUUUUCAGCCAAAAUACGUCGAUCUCUUCCUUACCGCCACUUUUACUCUGUUCUUCACUACUCAAUACACAUCUUUCUCCUCUCCCCUAGAACCCUAACCAACCGACAGAAACCUCUACCCCAAUCGAAAACCCUAAUUACUAACCGGCGGCUACAAACCCUAAUCGGAGUGUAAGAGGAGGAUGUUGUUCUACCUUUUCAGUUGAGCUUGAAUCGCCGGUCCACCUCCUCGGCGCCGCCGCACCACCAGGUUUGGAGAGUAGUUGAAGUGUGUUGGUGUUUGGGUCUAAAGAGUAGUUGCAGGGAUGGAUACUUCAAAAUUGGUUAGAAAUUUGAUUAAUGAGAUGAACACCCUCUUAUUCUUGAUUGUGGUGAUGAUAUUUUGGUGUGCUUUAGUGGUUGAACACUCUGGUAUCGGGCUCUAGAGUUACUUCAGUCACCAAUAUAUGGCUCUGCAGCUGAUUUAUGGGCAAUGGGUGCCAUCAUGGCUAAACUAUUUACUCUCUGUCCCCUUUUCCCAGAUUUGCAGUGAAGCGGAUGAAAUAUACAAAAACUGCAGUGAGAUUGGAAGCCCAACAGAGAGCACAUGGUGUGAUGGACUUGAACUGGUGUAAAUCUUUCUUCAAUGAUACCAUCUGCAAGCAAUGAGGCAGUCAAUUUAAUCGCGCUCUGUUCUUGGGAAUUGGGAUCAAUGCAAGAGACUGGUAGCUGUGGCGGCUACAAACCCUAAUCAGAGCUUGAAUCGUUCUACAAAUAGAGGUGAUGGUCCAACAUAUCUUACCUUAUCAUAUUGAGACGAGUAAAGUUGAUAACCAAUUUGUUAAGGAUCUAUGGUUGGAACAAAGAGGGCGUGAAAAAUUAUGGACGAUUGCAUGAAAAAGUUUAUGAGAAAGAAAGAUGUGAAACUUGGCACAAAUAUUAGAAGUGGGCUUGCAACCAAAUAUGUGUAUAAAGGUUUGAAUGCUUGUGCUAAAUAUACACUUUUGGAUCUUGAUAAGUAGUUGUGUUAUUUCGUUAGAUAAAAUUAAAUAUGCAUUAUCGUUUAACAAAUAUUUUUUAAGAGAAAAAAAUAAUAGAUGGGAGUUUUUUCUAAAUAAGGAAGACCCACUUGUUCGACUUUUGGGACCCAAGCACGGACGAUAUCAGAUUUUAUAGGACAUACUAGGAUUCAUGGUGUAUUGUAUAAGAAUGUGAACCAUGAUGAGUCUGGGCUCCACGGGUCGACACGAGCACAACUUUUUGUGGCUCUAGUUACGGGUCUGGUGGAAGGUUCAUCGACUAUCCACCUAUCGAGAGCAUGACCCAUGUGCGUUGCUAUUGAAUAUGGCCGACUCGCUAGUGGAGGUCGCUAAUGGCGUGGCAUGGCCAACCUUAGAGUCGGUCAUACAUCAGAAGCCAUAACCGGACAAAUGAAAUUAAGUUUGUUAUGAAAUAUGUUUCAUGUUGUCGUUUAGUGGCCAAGACAUGCACUAAAGCUCGCGAACAAAGAGACACAAAGUAAGUCAACUAGUGCCACGAGCAUGGUGUCGAGUGGUGGGUCACCAAGCUGUACAAACGCCUCGCUAUAAAUCCCCACAGAUGACACCGCGACGACACCAUAUCACCGUUAACAGGCGGUUUCUACGGAUUGGGAUGCAAGGUUUGAAAAGAUUAGUUCGGGUUGCAAGGCGUACGAAGUCGUCAUUUUGAUACAAGUUAGAUUCUUUCUUUUUGGGAUGCUAAGGUUUGAACAUGUCAGUUCGGUUCUGUUCAGGUCACUGUAUAUGUUUGUGUUUCAUUCCGGAAACAUGUACUUGUUGGAAACGUGUUUAAUAUAAGUUAGAAAUUUUUGUUUGUU
rnacentral:lncRNA from 1 species